rnacentral:rRNA from 1 species
AUACGGAGAGUGCAAGCGUUGUUCGGAAUUACUGGGCGUAAAGAGCGUGUAGGCGGCUCGGUCAGUCUGGCGUGAAAGCCCGGGGCUCAACCCCGGAAGUGCGUUGGAAACUGCCGAGCUUGAGUACUGGAGGGGAAAGCGGAAUUCCGAGCGUAGAGGAGAAAUUCGUAGAUAUUCGGAGGAACAUCUGUGGCGAAGGCGGCUUUCUGGACAGAUACUGACGCUGAGACGCGAAAGCGUGGGGAGCAAACAGGAUUAGAAACCCCAGUAGUCC